rnacentral:rRNA from 1 species
UACGAAGGGUGCAAGCGUUAAUCGGAAUUACUGGGCGUAAAGCGUGCGUAGGCGGUUUCUUAAGUCUGCUGUGAAAGCCCCGGGCUCAACCUGGGAAUGGCAUUUGGGACUGCAAGGCUGGAGUGCGGCAGAGGAGACUGGAAUUCCUGGUGUAGCAGUGAAAUGCGUAGAUAUCAGGAGGAAUACCGAUGGCGAAGGCAGGUCUCUGGGCUGACACUGACGCUCAUGCACGAAAGCGUGGGGAGCAAACAGG